rnacentral:rRNA from 1 species
UACGUAGGGUGCGAGCGUUGUCCGGAAUUAUUGGGCGUAAAGGGCUCGUAGGCGGUUUGUCGCGUCGGGAGUGAAAACUCAGGGCUUAACCCUGAGCCUGCUUCCGAUACGGGCAGACUAGAGGUAUGCAGGGGAGAACGGAAUUCCUGGUGUAGCGGUGAAAUGCGCAGAUAUCAGGAGGAACACCGAUGGCGAAGGCAGGUCUCUGGGCCACUACUGACGCUGGAGAAGCGAAAGCAUGGGGAGCGAACAGG